UCCAGCGAUGCCUCCCCAUUCCAUUUUUAGGAGCGGGAUAUUUUCAUUCUCAUCAGCAGUCAAUCUUUUGGAUGAAGACCAAGAGGAAUAUUUUUCCAACUUUGAAUCAUAGACCAUGCUUGAGCUUUAUUUGGACCCUCCAUUUCACCAAGCUAUAUAUGGAGAAAAUCAACAGUGUGCCGUCCCUCUGUCAUCAGGCACAGACAAUAAAAAUGAAACAUGGUUUCAAUGCCACGCACAUGGAAACGAAUGCAUUUGUGCCAAGUUCCAAUCAAAAGGAUAAGCUGAUCACCUGUGGCUUUAUUGUGGAGCUUCAUUUGCCGCUUCCCUAAUUAACAAGUGCUGACCGUGGACGGGCCUAAACACAGAGCUGGUUUACGGAGUCAACACACACACACACACACACACACACACACACUCUCCUAAUCCUUUCGGUACGAUUUUUCAGUGCCUUUUUACCCGAGUAGCACUCGGAACUCCAAGCAGCACAGGCCGCAGAUUGCUACUUUCCCUUUUUUUUAUCACAUUUUUUAUACUUCCCCUUUAAAUAAAAAGGAAAGAAUUCAUUAAUACAUAUGUUUUUCUCUACCGUUGCCCAUCCCAUUAUCCAAUCCCAUUAACUACAAUAAGCAUACACUUCAUUGUAUUUGUAUUUUUUUAUGAUAUACUUACUUUUUUUUAGCUCUCCAUCUUGAAUCGUUUAUCGAAAAAAAAAAUUAUGAGCUAAAACAUGUUACUUGUGUAUUAGAUGAUUUAAUGACUCAUGGUGAAGAAUUCAUUCUUUCCCAUUAUCCUAUUAAUUACUGACAUUAUGUCAAUCUUUCUUUCCUCCAAAUGCACCAUGAUG